UACAAUGAAAGUGCAAAGCUUUGCUCCUGCACGGAGACCAGAUUAGGAAUGGAGUUCCGGUCUUCACUGCUGUCAUCUGCCUCACUGGCACUGGGGGUCACGGCCUGCUGGAUGACUUUUUUUUCCACUGCAUAUUCCUGCUCUUCUGUCUUGGGGUCUCCCUUGACCAAGAACUCUCCUUUCCGAUAGGAUAUGGAGACAUUGGUCCGUGGGUAGGUACCAUAAACCCUCCGGAGAUCAUCCUUCACAAAUUCUGGGAGGUCUUUCCUUGGUCCAAACACCUUUCCAAGCUUGCCCCAUUGAAGCUCCCCUCUCAUUGUAAAGCCUUCUGGCCACGUGUCUCGAUACUGAUCUGACCUCUGGUAGGCAGCGUAUGGAUGGUAGUUUGCAUAGGGAUUGUAGAAAGGGAUGGGGACCAUGGGAGGGAAGUGCCAGGUGUAGUAUGGAUGGAUAUAGGGAUUGGAGGCACUAUAGAGAUGAUGAUACUCCACCUGACCACCUGAAUAGUCAGGGUAGCUGUUCUGGUCCACCACAAAGGUGAUGGGUCGACUGUAGAAGUUGUGCAUGUGGAUGGGAGGGAACAUCACGGAGCUGGUCAUGUCUUCUGCUCUCCCAGGCCGCAGCGGUGGGUAGGCGUAGGCAGAAGGUGGGAUCAUGGCUGGGUAAUAUUCCCGUGGCACAAAGCUGGACUGGUACAUUGUACAGGAGACUGGGGCUUUACGCAGCAGGCACUUCUCUGAAGAAGUUGCAGAGUCUCAAAAGCUGUGAGGAACAGGAGGGGAAGAGAAAAAAAAUUUACAUUGGUUAUAAAAAUAUUCCAGAACCAGGC
rnacentral:lncRNA from 1 species